rnacentral:rRNA from 1 species
CAGAGGGUGCGAGCGUUAAUCGGAUUUUACUGGGCGUAAAGCGUGCGUAGGCGGCUUUUUAAGUCGGAUGUGAAAUCCCUGAGCUUAACUUAGGAAUUGCAUUCGAUACUGGAAAGCUAGAGUAUGGGAGAGGAUGGUAGAAUUCCAGGUGUAGCGGUGAAAUGCGUAGAGAUCUGGAGGAAUACCGAUGGCGAAGGCAGCCAUCUGGCCUAAUACUGACGCUGAGGUACGAAAGCAUGGGAGCAAACAGGAUU